UUGUAGUAUGUGUGGGCACCUGAGAGACCCCAGCCAGGCCACACCUGCUUAGAGGGCACUUUUGGGUGCCCACACCAUAGCUUCUGUACAAGCAGACCGUGGCUGAUCAGUGGAGAGCUGCAGCAAGGUGACCUCUACAGCCACGUACCAGCCUGCACAUUACCUCUCCAUACUGCAGCCCUUUAUAUGGAAACUUCCUACAUCACUUAGCUGUGUGUGUUUACACAGGUGGGUUUUGUUGUACUUGCCCUAACAGCAUAUGGGAAUGCAGCACACACCCCAACCCACACCAACUGCCACUGAAGAUGAAGCCAUGGUGGGCACAGAACCAAAAACCCCACCCCUGCUAGCAUCUCACCCUUGAGGUAAUGCUGUGCAGAGGAAAAGGGACCUUCUUAUACCCUGAGUGACCACUGUUGCUUGGGGGGGAUCAGAGAAGGCACCUUCACUGGCCAGCCACCCACCCCAAACCAGAACUACCUCCAGUGCAACAGCACACACAGUCAGCAGGGGCCCCCUGGCCCACACCCCAGCUGUUUUGCCUCCACCACUAGGUGAAUGCCCACAGGGAGGCAGGGACUUUUGCAUCUGCUAGCAUUCUGCCACAGCUGCCACACUUUGGUCCCCUCAGUGCGGUGGACUCCAAACCUCGAUGAGCCAGAGAACAAAGUUGUGGCCCAAUACAAGUUCCCCAGAGUUAAAGCACACAGUCCAAGAAUUGGGAGCUGCAUGUUGGCCCCUUAAAAUCCUCCAAAGACAAAACCUGUUGGCUGAAUCCACCUUACACCACAAUCAAAUCCUCAAGGUCAUCAGAUAUAAUAAAGGAAAAAUACCCUGUCCAAAGGUCAGCAGCCUCAAAGAUUGAAGGUGGAUAAGCCCAUAAAGAUGAGAAAAAGACUCUGUGCAAGAACACUGAAAACUCAAAAAUUCAGCAUGCUUUCUUUUCUCCAAAUGACUGCAUCAACUCUCCAGCAAGUGUUCAGAACUGGGCUGAGGCUGAGAUGUCUGAAAUGAUACAAGCAGAGUUCAGGAUAUGGGUAGGAACAAAGUUCCCUGAGUGAAAGAAGUAUGUUGUAAUCCAAUACAAGGAAGCUAAAAAUCAUUGUAAAACAUUGCAGGAACUAACAGACAAAAUAGCAAGUAUAAAGAAGAAAAUAACUGACCUGACAGAGCUGUAAAUCAC
rnacentral:lncRNA from 1 species